GGACUAGGCAAGAUGAUCGACCCGCCCUUUCUUUUGAAAGGGCGGGUAGGAAAGUCCGAACAUGCUCCCACCUGUUCUUGAAUACAGGAACAGGCUGGGAAAACAGGUAGCGGGUAACGCCCGCCGUCCGCGAGGACAGAGGUGCCUACAGAGACGCCUCCGAACGAAAGUGAGGAGGUAUCCCGAAAGGGAUAAGUCUUCGUAUAAGCUUGAGGCUUGCCCUGAGCGAAGUCGAAGGGUGAAACGAGCAAAUCCUUACUCGCAUGCAAGGCCGUGCUGCCAAUGCUCCGCGUUGGUGGAGUGCCGCUCGAGCCUAUAAGUAAUUAUGGGCCCAGAUAAAUGAUCAUCCAUGUUUGCCGUGAGGCAAACGGGACAGAAUUCGGCUUACUACCCUAGUCUGCGA
rnacentral:RNase_P_RNA from 3 species